AAGAUCAUACUUCACAGGAUCAUUUCUGUAGUAUAUCUUCACAUACUCUACAUUCAAUUGUGGAGUCGUUGCAACCGUGAUGAUGAUAUGUAGCGUUGCGAUCUGAGCGUGAGAAGGAUUGAUUCUAAGACUUUAUUGGUCUUGGAUGAAGUCAUCGAUGAUCGUUCGUCUAAUCUUUUGGGAUAGAUCAUGGUCGUGACGCAAUCCGAGCGGU